rnacentral:rRNA from 1 species
AUGCGGCCAGCAUCAAGGGAGAAUCUUGGGUCCGUGUCGCACGAACGACGGCCUCCCGCGAACUCCGAGCCUGCCUCCCCAUGAAGGCGGCUCCGCUGAAGGAAGGAGGGCUUGGAUGGCUUCUCCGACGGCGGCAUUGCUGCGGCCACUGCCUUGCUGCCGGCCGCCUCCUCCUUCUUGAGCUUCUGCUUGCGCCUCCACUUGUGCCACUUCUUGCUGAAGACCGAAGCAGCGAGCCGGAAGCUCCCGGCGAUCUCCUUCAGGUCCAUGGGCGGCGGCUUCUUGGGCUGCGAAGAUUCGAGAUCUAUGUGA